GAUUCCCUGUUUCUGAGUAGUGCUCUUCUUGCUCAAUCAAUCAUUAUCUUUGUAGUUGUGGAUGGAUUAUUUGUCUUUCUCUCGUUUUUCUCUUGAUCAUGUUUUUUUCUUCUUUGACUUAUGGUUUUUGGUUUCCUUCUUUGUAUUAAAACUGAUGUGAAAUGUAGUUCUGAUUUUCAGAAUAAAAAUGCUUGAUACAUGUUAUUAAUACUAAGCAGAUUGCGAGUUUUAAAAUUCUAAGAUUAUUUUGUCUCUUUCUAAAUGAUAUCGAAACCUAUUACAGACAACAAUUAUGCGUUCUUGGGUGACAAUUCCUGUGUUAUUGCUGUCGAUCAUCAAUGGUACACCAUGCGUUCAAAUUGCGCCGAGAAGCAUACAGUUGUAUGUCAGCGUCAACUCAUCAAAGACGAGUCAUCAACAAGGAGAAUUCAAAAUGUAGAAGAAACUGAGACUUCUGUUGAAUCUUGCAACCAGUGUUCCUGUAAUAAGUUUGGAAAUGUCGAAUGGAACACUGGCACGAGUGUUGAACAUGUAGAUACUACAGGAAAAGAAGUUACUGAAAAACUUGAUUCACUGAAGAAAUCCCUUACAAUUGACAGGACAAAACUAUCAUCGACAAAACGGAGGAAAACAAGUGCAAAUGAUGACCGCCAAUCCUCACGGAACAUGGGAUAUAUAGCUGUAUCGAUAAUAGUCACAGUUGUAGGAUGCAUAAUGGUAUUGGAUUUACUACCAGGCCAUUGAAAGGAAACGACUGCUACUUAUAGUUUACAGUUAUUCUUUAAUUUUCCAUUGUUAUUGGUUUAUGUAUGUGCUUUAGCAUGUGGAAAGUUAUAUUUCUCUUUCUUUUGUUUUGCUGUAAAUAUAUGUGUAACGACAAAUGUAAAACUGGUUACUCGUAACAAACUAUCACAAUAUACAAGCAUACAUAAACUGCAAUGUUAAUUGAUGGAAGCUAAUUUCAGAUUUGAUUGUACAUCGUUUUCUAUUCAAUUUAAAUAAUUUGUAAACUUACAGAUAGAUUAUAAUGUGUUAAUAAUAAAUGCAGCGCUCCAUC